rnacentral:rRNA from 1 species
ACUGCUAUCGGAUUGAUACUAAGCCAUGCGAGUCUUUGUAGCAAUACAAGGCAGACGGCUCAGUAACACGUAGUCAAUCUACCCUAUGGACGGGGAUAACCUCGGGAAACUGAGAAUAAUACCCGAUAGAUCAUUAUGCCUGGAAUGGUUUAUGGUCGAAAUGAUUUAUCGCCGUAGGAUGGGACUGCGGUCUAUCAGCUUGUUGGUGAGGUAAUGGCCCACCAAGGCUAUAACAGAUACGGGCUCUGAGAGGAGAAGCCCGGAGAUGGGUACUGAGACACGGACCCAGGCCCUAUGGGGCGCAGCAGGCGAGAAAACUUUGCAAUGUGCGAAAGCACGACAAGGUUAAUCCGAGUGUUUUCUGCUAAAGAAAUCUUUUGUCAGUCCUAAAAACACUGAUGAAUAAGGGGUGGGCAAGUUCUGGUGUCAGCCGCCGCGGUAAAACCAGCACCUCAAGUGGUCAGGAGGAUUAUUGGGCCUAAAGCAUCCGUAGCCGGCCGUGUAAGUUUUCGGUUAAAUCUAUACGCUCAACGUAUAGGCUGCCGGGAAUACUGCACAGCUAGGGAGUGGGAGAGGUAGACGGUACUCGGUAGGAAGGGGUAAAAUCCUUUGAUCUAUUGAUGACCACCUGUGGCGAAGGCGGUCUACUAGAACACGUCCGACGGUGAGGGAUGAAAGCUGGGGGAGCAAACCGGAUUAGAUACCCGGGUAGUCCCAGCUGUAAACAAUGCAAACUCAGUGAUGCACUGGCUUGUGGCCAGUGCAGUGCCGCAGGGAAGCCGUUAAGUUUGCCGCCUGGGAAGUACGUACGCAAGUAUGAAACUUAAAGGAAUUGGCGGGGGAGCACCACAAGGGGUGAAG